AUUGAACGCUAGCGGCAGGCCUUACACAUGCAAGUCGAGCGGAGCGGCGGAGGGGUGAGGAAUAGCAAGGAAUCUGCAUGUUAGCGGGGGAGAACGUUCAGAAACCGGCACUAAUACCGCAUACUAUCAGAUUAGCCUAGGUCGGAUUAGCAAGUUGGUGGGGUAAAGGCCUACCAAGGCAACGACCCGUAGCUGGUCUGAGAGGAUGAUCAGUCACACUGGCACUGAGACACGGUCCAGACUCCUACGGGAGGCAGCAGUGGGGAAUAUUGGACAAUGGGCGAAAGCCUGAUCCAUCCAUGCCGCGUGUGUGAAGAAGGUCUUCGGAUUGUAAAGCACUUUAAGUUGGGAGGCGUUACCUACAGAAUAAGCACCGGCUAACUUCGUGCCAGCAGCCGCGGUAAUUC
rnacentral:rRNA from 1 species